rnacentral:rRNA from 1 species
UACGUAGGCAGCGAGCGUUGUUCGGAAUUACUGGGCGUAAAGAGUGUGUAGGCGGUGUUCCCAGUCUGUUGUGAAAUCUCCCGGCUUAACUGGGAGGGUGCAGCGGAAACUAGAAUGCUAGAGGGUGGGAGAGGUAAGCGGAAUUCCUGGUGUAGCGGUGAAAUGCGUAGAUAUCAGGAGGAACACCUGUGGUGUAGGCAGCUUACUGGACCGCUUCUGACGCUGAGACACGAAAGCGUGGGUAGCAAACGGG